rnacentral:rRNA from 1 species
UGGGGAAUAUUGGACAAUGGGCGAAAGCCUGAUCCAGCCAUGCCGCGUGUGUGAAGAAGGUCUUCGGAUUGUAAAGCACUUUAAGUUGGGAGGAAGGGCAGUAAGCGAAUACCUUGCUGUUUUGACGUUACCGACAGAAUAAGCACCGGCUAACUCUGUGCCAGCAGCCGCGGUAAUACAGAGGGUGCAAGCGUUAAUCGGAAUUACUGGGCGUAAAGCGCGCGUAGGUGGUUCGUUAAGUUGAAUGUGAAAGCCCCGGGCUCAACCUGGGAACUGCAUCCGAAACUGGCGAGCUCGAGUAGGGCAGAGGGUGGUGGAAUUUCCUGUGUAACGGUGAAAUGCGUAGAUAUAGGAAGGAACACCAGUGGCGAAGGCGACCACCUGGGCUCAUACUGACACUGAGGUGCGAAAGCGUGGGGAGCAAACAGG